rnacentral:RNase_P_RNA from 1 species
CGAGUUGAUCGGAUGAUCGCUGGCUGGAAGCUUGCCGCAAGGAUGCAAAAGCUAGAGGAAAGUCCGGACUUCAUGAGCAUAGUGCCAGGUAACACCUGGGGGGUGAGAGCCCACGGAAAGUGCAACAGAAAAUAAACCGCCUGAGCAUGAGAAUGUUCCGGUAAGGAUGAAAAGGUGAGGUAAGAGCUCACCGGUUCAGUGGUAACAUUUGAACGCAAGGUAAACCCCACUUGAAGCAAGACCAAAUAGGAAUCCAAUUAAGAGCUCACUUAGGAUUCGGGUAGGUUGCUAGAGCAUGGCGGUGACGUUAUGCCAAGAUAGAUGAUCAUCUUUCUUAGAAUAUUUCUGAGAGGAAACAGAAUCCGGCUUACAGAUCAACUCACUCU